rnacentral:rRNA from 1 species
UAGUGGAGUGAUCUGUCUGGUUAAUUCCGAUAACGAACGAGAUCCCGGCCAUUUAAAUAGUGUUUAUUACUUUGUAGUAAUACACUUCUUAGAGGAACUAUGUGGAAAAACUAACCCCAACGGAAGUGGGGCGUAUAACA